GCCCUAGUAGCUUAAAUUCUAAAGCCUUGGUCUUGUAAACCAAAAAUGAGAUUUGCUCUCCUAGGCCAA
rnacentral:tRNA from 1 species